AGAGAGAGAGAGAGAGAGAGUAUCCGGUGCACGGGACAUCCGAGCACACCGGCGAUCUGACCGCGCAAGCAGAUCUGGCCUCGGACACGUUUUUAAUGUGACGCGCGUGAACGCACCCGUGGACAAACCGCGUACCGACCGGUGUCAUCGAGUGUACCGAGCGUCGCUUUGCGCCACGAAUCAUCCUCCUUUUCUCCUCCUCCUCCUCUUCUUCUUCUCCUCCUCCUCGCAUCCGCGCGCCGCGUACCUGACCGGAGGAUGCCCGAGAAACGAGACCGCGCCGAAUCCGUCCGGGAUUAUCCAUACACCGCAUGAGGAGCAUCUUUCCCCGCAUUGAUCGGAGGCACAAUCGUUCGUCUUUCGGAGCGGGUGUGCAGGGCUGCUUGAGGAAGCGGGAGCGAUGGCCAAUGCCUCAACAGACCUGGACAAUGCUGAGGCCCAGAGACAGCUCAACAACAACAACAGGCCAGCAGGCACAGGAUUCUGGGAAGCGCAGUCCACCAGCGCCAAACUAUUCGAGUGCUCUCGCAUCAAAGCACUAGCAGAUGAAAGGGACGCAGUACAGAAGAAAACCUUCACCAAGUGGGUGAACUCUCACCUGGCGCGUGUGUCCUGCCGUAUCUCUGACCUGUACAAUGACCUGAGAGACGGAUACAUGCUGAUCAGACUGCUGGAGGUGCUGUCAGGAGAGCUGCUGCCUCGACCUACGAGAGGCAGGAUGAGGAUUCACUGUCUGGAGAACGUGGAUAAAGCCCUUCAGUUCCUCAAAGAGCAGAGGGUUCAUCUUGAAAAUGUUGGAUCUCACGAUAUAGUGGAUGGCAACCACCGCCUGACUCUCGGCCUCAUCUGGACCAUCAUCCUUCGCUUCCAGAUUCAGGUGAUUAAGAUUGAGACGGAGGACAACAGAGAGACUCGCUCAGCUAAAGAUGCCCUACUUCUGUGGUGUCAGAUGAAAACAGCAGGGUACCCUGAGGUCAACAUUCACAACUUCACCACCUGCUGGAGGGACGGCUUGGCUUUCAAUGCUCUUAUUCACAGACACCGGCCUGAUUUAAUUGAAUUCCACAAGCUGACCAGAUCCAAUGCAACACACAACCUCCAGCAAGCCUUUAACAUCGCCGAACAGAAUCUGGGACUCACCAAACUACUAGACCCUGAGGAUGUAAACACGGAGAAUCCAGAUGAGAAGUCCAUCAUCACUUAUGUAGUCUCCUACUAUCAUUACUUCUCCAAAAUGAAGGCGCUUAUCGUAGAAGGGAAGAGAAUUGGAAAGGUUCUGGACAAUGCUAUAGAGGCUGAGAAGGUAAUUCGGCGCUAUGAGGCUUUAGCAUCCGACCUGUUGGAGUGGAUUGAGAAAACCAUUAGCAUUAUUAGCAACCAGAAGUUUGCAAACUCGCUGUCGGGUGUUCAGCAACAGCUUCAAGCCUUUACCACCUACUGCACCAUCGAGAAGCCUAUCAAAUUCCAGGAGAAAGGGAACCUGGAGGUGCUGCUUUUCACCAUCCAAAGUAAGCUCAGAGCUAACAAUCAGAAGCCAUAUGUGCCUCAUGACGGAAAACUGAUCUCAGACAUCAAUAAGGCGUGGGAGAGACUAGAGAAGGCGGAGCAUGAAAGGGGCGUGGCUCUGAGAAAGGAGCUGAUUCGUCAGGAGAAACUUGAACUUCUUGCUCAGCGAUUUGAUCAUAAGACCACCAUGAGGCAGGCUUGGCUGAACGAAAACCAGCGUCUCGUCUCACAGGAUAACUUCGGCUAUGACCUGCCAGCAGUAGAAGCUGCCAUGAAGAAACAUGAGGCGAUCGAAGCGGACAUCUUAUCAUACGAGGAGCGCAUCAGUGUGGUGGUGGAGCUGGCCAAUGAGAUGGAGUCUGAAGGCUACUAUGACACCCGACGGAUCUCGGCACGCAGGGAAAACAUCCUCGGCCAGUGGACUCUACUGAAGAAGCUGGUGGUGGGACGAAAAGUCCGUCUGGAGAAGAACCUGGCCCUGCAGAAAACCUUCCAGGAGAUGGUCUACAUGAUUGACUGGAUGGAGGAGAUGCAAGUGGGUUAUCAGCCGUGUGACCCUCAGGUAAUCUGCAACCGGGUGAGCCACGUAAAUACCUGCCUCGAGGAGCUGAAUCAGCUGGCAGCAAAGCGUCGCUCCGAGCUGGAGGACUCGCUGGAGCUCUGGGCCUUCUUUCAGGAGGUGGAGGAAUCUGAGUCCUGGAUCCGAGAGAAGAUGUCUAUCCUGGCCACGCAGAGCUGCGGUAAAGACCUGAGCAGUGUCCUGCGGCUCCUGCAGAAACACAAGACGUUAGCCGGAGAGCUGCUGGCGCGGCGUGCACUCCUUCAGCAGACCAUGAAGAAAGGCAAGCAGAUCCUCACGCAGAAGAGCUUCGGGACGGCAGGAAUACAGGAGAGACUGAUGGAGGCUAAGGCGGAAUGGAAGAGGCUGGAGGACCAGGCCGCGCAGCGGCUGUGCAACCUGCAGGAGGCGUUAGACUUUUUUCAGUUCACCACUGAGAUGGAUGACCUACUAGCGUGGCUACAGGAUGCAUAUCGGCUCGUUUCCAGUGAAGACUUCGGACAUGAUGAGUAUUCAACACAGUCGCUCCUUAAAAAGCACAAAGGAGUGAGAGAGAACAUCGAUAAGCAUCGUGUGCAAGUGGUGGGCCUCCGGAAACACAUGGUGGCGCUGCCCCUGCAGUAUCGGGAGCUGGACGAGGUGCGAGCGAGGAUGGCCGAGACGGAGCAGCUCUACACGGAGGUGGCCGAAGUGGCUGUCUUGCGGCAGCAGUGGCUUCUGGACGCUCUGGCUGUGUAUCACAUGUUCAGUGAGGUGAACGCCUGCGAGGUGUGGAUCGACGAGAAGGAGCAGUGGCUGAACAAAAUGGAGGUUCCUGAGAGACUUGAGGAUGUGGAGGUCAUCGCGCACAGGUUUGAGAGCUUGGACCAGGAGAUGAACAGCCUGAUGGGAAGGAUACUAGAUGUUAAUCAGAUCGUCCAGCAACUUUUAGACAGCGGUCACCCCAGCUCAACUGAAGUCCGAGGCUGCCAGGAUCAUUUAAACAGCAGGUGGAACAGCAUCGUGGAGCUGGUGGAGCAGAAGAAAGAUCACCUGGACUCCAUCCUGCGCAUCCAGAACUACUUAUUGGAGUGCACCGAAAUCAAGUCCCAGAUUCAGGACAAAAGGAAAGCCAUCGAUGCCACACAGUACGUGGGCAGUGACCUGGGCAGCGUUUUGGCGCUGCAGCGGCGUCUCUCCACCAUGGAAGGAGCUCUAGCCGUCCUCGAACCCAAACUCCUCCACCUUCAGGAAGAAGCAGAAGAGCUCGCAACGUCCCAUCCAGAGAAGGCCGUGGAGAUUCUAGUUCCUUUCGAAGGCAUCAGCGUGGAGUGGGAGGAACUAAAGCGCACUUUGCAAGGCUGCGAAGACUCUUUAACCGUCGCCGGCAGGUUGCAACAGUUCAUCCAAGAUCUGGAUUCUUUCCUCACCUGGCUGGUUCAAACUCAGACCUCCGCUGCUUCAGACGAGCUUCCCAAUGCUUUAGAGGACGCCGAACGGCUGAUAAACCAGCAUGCGGCGCUGAAGGAGGAGAUCGGACGCUACGAGGAGGAUUACGAGCGGCUGCAGGCGGUGAAUGAGCUGCUGGAGACUGAGGAGGCGCCGCUGCCUCACGGAGCUCUGCAGCAGUGGCUCCACAAGCUGGAUGUGGGCUGGAAUAAACUGCUGGAGAUGUGGGAGAGUCGCCGGGAGGUGCUGGUGCAGGCGCACAUCUUCCAUCUGUUUCUGAGGGACGUCAAGCAGGCUGAGGCUUUCCUCAACAACCAGGAAUCAGCGCUGGCUCAUGUGGAGCUUCCCAGUACAGUGGAGACGGUGGAGGCGGCCAUCAAAAAGCACAAGGACUUCACCACCACCAUGGAGCUGAACCUGCACCGUAUUAAAGCUGUGAUCGAGGCGGGAGAGAGUCUGAUCAGCCAGAACAACAUCUACUCGGAGCGCAUCAGAGAGAGAGUCGACCUGCUUGCCAACAGAGGGAACCAGAACCGUCAACACGCGCAGCAGUGGCUUCAUAAACUCAAUGACCAGUGGGAGCUGCAGAGGUUUCUACAGGACUGCCACGAGAUUGGUGAUUGGGUGGCAGAGAAGAUGCUAAUGGCUCGCGACACGUCCCGCGACGAGACGCAGAAGCUUCAUAAGAAGUGGCAGAAGCAUCAGACCUUCAUGGCUGAGCUCGCUCAGAACAAGGAAUGGCUGGACAAGAUGGAGAAAGAGGGCCAGCGGUUAAUGCAGGAGAAGCCGGAGCUGAGCGCGCUGGUCAAGAAGAAGCUGGAGGAGAUCCGCGAGUGCUGGCAGGAUCUGGAGAGCACCACACAGGAGAAAGCCCGGCAGCUGUUUGAGGCCAACCGGGCCGACCUGCUGGUGCAGAGCUACUCCAGCCUGGACCACAGACUGGAGCGGCUCGAGGACCAGCUGGCGCAUGUGGAUUACGGCCAGGACCUGACCUCCGUCAACAAGCAGCUGAAGAAACUGCAGACGAUGGAGUGUCAGAUGGAGGAAUGGUAUAAAGAGGUUGGAGAUCUGCAGGCUCAGGCGGCCUCCAUCCCGCAGCAGGGAGAGGUGAUGGAGAAGGUGUCUGUGAAACAAACUGGUGUGGAAACGCGGAUCGUGCGGCUGAUCGAGCCUCUGAAGGAGAGACGUCGCAUCCUGCUGGCUUCUAAAGAAGUGCACCAAGUGGCCCGGGACAUCGAGGAUGAAAUUUUGUGGAUACAAGAGCAUAUUCCAGUGGCCACUUCUCAGGAACUCGGGACAAGUUUACAAGCUGUACAGCAACUCAUGAAGAAGAAUCAAACUCUUCAGCGAGAGCUUCAUGGCCACCGCUCGCGGGUGGAGGACGUCCUGGAGCGAGCAGGUCUCAUCUCCUCCAUCCGCAGUCCAGAGGCCGACAGUAUCCGGGCCGGCAUGGAGCAGCUCCAUCAGCUGUGGGAGGCACUGUGGGCAGAGACGGAGCGCCGGCAGCUCACACUGGACGCCAUGUACCAGGCACAGCAGUACUACUUUGAUGUGGCAGAGGUGGAGGCCUGGCUGAGCGAACAGGAGCUGCACAUGAUGAAUGAGGAGACCGGGAAGGAUGAGGCCAGUACUCUGCAGCUGCUGAAGAAACAGCUGGUGCUCGAGCAGACCAUCGAGGACUAUGCAGAAACCAUCGGCCUGCUGUCUCAGCAGUGCAGACAGUUGCUUGAGCUCGGACAUCCAGACUGUGAGCAGAUCAGCAAGCGUCAGUCUCAGAUCGACAGGCUGUACGUGUCUCUGAAGGACCUGGUGGAGGAGAGGAAGUCUCGUCUGGAGCAGCAGUAUUGGCUCUAUCAGCUGAACAGAGAAGUGGAUGAGCUGGAGCAGUGGAUCGCGGAGAGAGAGGUCAUCGCCAGCUCCACUGAACUCGGACAGGACUUUGAGCACGUCACGAUUCUGCAGGAGAAAUUUACAGAGUUUGCAGCUGAGACAGGCGGCCUGGGGCAGGAGAGGGUCACCGCUGUUAACCAGAUGGUGGAUGAGCUCAUAGAUUACGGCCACACGGAUGCAGCCACCAUCGCCGAGUGGAAGGAUGGAGUGAACGAGGCCUGGGCCGACCUGCUGGAGCUGAUGGAGACACGGGGACAGAUGCUUGCUGCUUCACACCAGCUACACAAGUUCUUCUCAGACUGCCGAGAGGUGUUAGCACAGAUUGAGGAUAAGCAGCGGAGGUUGCCUGAAGUUCAUGCCUGUCAAGGAGGCACUUCAAAUACCAGCACUUUGCAGAGACUUAUGCAGACGUUUGAACAUGAUAUUCAGCUGCUUGUUGCACAGGUAAGACAGCUACAGGAGAGCGCAGCACAGCUCCGAACGGUUUACGCCGGUGAGAAAGCAGAGGCAAUUGCCAUGCAGGAACACGAGGUGAUGCAGGCGUGGAAAGAGCUGCUGAUAUCUUGUGAGGACUGCCGAAUGCAGAUAACCACAGCCACAGACAAGCUACGUUUCUUCGGGAUGGUGCGUGACCAGCUGAUGUGGAUGGAAAGCAUCAUCUGCCAGAUAGGAACUGGGGAGAAGCCAAGGGAUGUGUCCUCCGUGGAGGUCCUGAUGAACUAUCACCAGAGCCUCAAGAGUGAGGUGGAAGCCCGCAACAAGAGCGUCCUACAGUGUAUCGAGUUGGGCAAGACUUUACUGGCCGCCCGUAACCCUGCAUCAGAAGAGAUCAAAGACAAGCUGGAGAGGGUUUUGUCCAAGCAGCAAGAACUCACUGAGAAAUGGGAGAAACACUGGGAAGAUUUGCAGCAGAUGCUGGAGGUGCAUCAGUUUGCUCAGGAAGCAGUGGUGGCAGAGGCCUGGCUCACCGCUCAGGAACCCCUCCUUAACAGUAAUGAGCUGGGUGGCAGUGUGGAUGAAGUCGAGCAGCUGAUUCGCAGGCACGAAGCUUUCCGCAAAGCUGCUGCCACGUGGGAAGAACGAUUCAGCUCUUUACGUCGCCUGACCACGGUAGAGAAGAUCAAAGCCGAGCAGAGCAAGCUUCCCCCAACUCCCUUAUUGGGACGUAAGGUUUUCUUGGACCCCCAGGACUCUUCUCCAGCUCGCAGUAGCCCUUCCUCCAUCAUAAGACAGACUAUUUAUGAGCAGGGCGAGCCCCGGGCGGAGCGCAUCACCCCGCAGCCCUCUCCCUCUUCUGUGGCCCGCAGACUGGGCUCCACAGUGGCCAACUACACUCCCAUCAUGAAUGGAGCUGCUACUUAUCGCCUUCAGGAAGCCAGGAAUGCUGGGAUUGUUGGUGUGGCCGCAGGACUGGGCACUGCUAUGGAGCAUAAGGUCACUCAGUUGCGACCUGACUUUAAGGGCCAAGUCCCACAGCAGAAGAUCGAACACAUCCAUGAGGUGGUCCACCCCCUGCUGGAGAAGGAGAGGGAACGGUAUCAUGAGAACGUGAUGGCAGAGGUGGUCCUCCAGGAGCCUGGUGGAGGACGGGAGAGGCUGAACAGUAUGGUGGGAGGGAGCGGGAGCAGUCGGUCCGAACUUCUGGUGGAGCAGCACCCACCACCAAGGGAGUCCCGGUUGGAGAGACAACUUUCUACAGAGCAGCUGAUUCAGGCACGCAGGGAUGAGCUUCCUCAGGAGGUGUGGAGGGAACGAGCGGAGAGGGUGGAAAAAAGGCUAGAGAGACAGACAUCUAGUGAACAUGAAGGUCAUGAGGUUCGUCGGCGGGACAGACAUCGAAUGGAGAGACAAGAAAGCAGCGAGCAGGAGGCAAGAGAGCAGUCGGACAGACGAUCUGCUGGCGGGGAGAAAAGAUCCACGUUAGCAGAGAUUGUGGAGCAGCUUCAGGAAAGAGAAGCAGCACAGGCUAGAGGAGAGAUUCCACGACUCCCCAAUGGAUUGCCGGAAAAGACUUCUCGACCGGACCGGCCUCGGGCUCGGGAUAGACCCAAACCGAGAAGACGACCAAGACCCAAGGAACCAACAGCUGGCGAAACACGACGCUCGAGGUCUGCUCCAGCUCAGAGCAGUCCACAAGUACCCCUGCCACCCACCCACACGGCCCAGCACGAAGGGUUCCUCUUCCGAAAAAUUGACAUCGAGGGCCAAAAGAAGAGUUCAAACAGCAGAUCUUGGGUCAAUCUCUACUGCGUGUUGAAUAAAGGUGAGCUGGGCUUCUACAAGGAUGCGAAGAAUACCGCCACACCUUACAACAACGAGCCACUUAUCAACCUGAGCCGUUGUGCCUGUGACAUCAACAAUGGUUACAAAAAGAAGAAGAAUGUCUUCACACUCAAAACUAAGGAUGGAAGCGAGUUUCUGUUCCAUGCUAAAGAUGAGGAUGAUCUGAAAAGCUGGAUCACAAGCAUAACCGCGAGUAUAAGUGAGCACGAAGAGCUUGCCAAAUUGGGGCAGACCCAUCCAACUACCUCAUCUACCGACGAGGGAACGCGCAGGGAUGGCAGCAGAGCCGGCGGCUCGGAAAGAGGCGAAAAGUCCGACCGAGCCGACGGGGGAUCGGUGCGCUCAGACAAGGGUGAAAAGCCUGAGAAAAAGACGGCCAAGAAGAAAUGAGCCACCCUACAGCAGUGAGGCAGGACUUGGAAACUCCAGGAAAGUGCUCUAUGGGAAUCAGGAAUAAGGAAGGCGUCACUGUGAACUCCCUUUGCUGUCCAGCUGGAAUCAGGCACAAGGAGGUGCAUUGAGCUCAUGUGUCAGUGAGCGCCCUCUAGUGGCUGCCGAGGACUAUGACAAUUCAGGAGCUCCAUACGGGCCAAAGAGCUGAUAGCAUAGGCAAAUGGAGGAUAAAAGAGGAAGAUGUUGUAGUAAAGUAGCUGAUGAAGAUUAUUUUCUAAUCCGUUCGUGAACAAACAAGAUGACCCAUAUGUACGUGUACCCGUCUCUCUCUUUGUAAAUUGUACGUCUCGACUUCAGUUCUAUACAAUCUCACGCUGAACCGGAAAUAUGCCAAAAUCUUUCUGGAGGUUGGUCCUUUUUCUGAAGAGCAUGUUUUGUCUGUUUCUUUUGUAAGUUGUUUUAGCUCUUUUAUACUCUUGUUGAUUUGUAUUCAUUGAUGGCUCUUCCACACGAUUUGGAUUCUCGUCUUGCCUCUUUGUAGACCACAUGUUUGAACGCCAUAUCUGAGCAUGCCGACGAGGUAUCAGAUGGAGAAAUAUGACCUGUCUUUUUUUUUCCAAUAAAUGGAAGCAGCUCACCUGCCGUGAGUGUAUUCUCAGAUCUGAUUUCAAGGGUUUGUUGGUUUCCCCCCCCCACCACAGUCGUUUAUUAAUCUCAUGUUAUGCAUUAUAUGUUGAGUGCCAGGUCGACUGCUUUUCUAAUGACUACCAAAUGGGUUGUGUAUGUGUCUACGCAUGUACGUGUAUCGCAUCAAUCAUCAAGCUAUCGUUUACAUGAUUUGAUUUACACUCAGAAGUCUUCCAAGCACAGAGCUGAUUGUUUUGUAAAACUCCAGAAGCGAAUAUUUUAGUUUUUAACCACACGUUUUGACGCUAAAAGCGAUCUGAAGGGAUUCAGGCGUUUGGUUUAACAGGUGAUGUGGUUGUAAGAUGAAUGCCGUGUUAGUAUGUGAUUGUCUCUCCUGAUUGGCUGAACUUGAGCGAAAUGUGACUUUGAAUUGUGUUACUCUGCAGGUAAUAGAAUAGAAAGCCCAUAUAGCUAGCAAAAAUGCAAGGUAUACUGCGAGAAAAGUGGUACAUGCUUUAGACAACUCUGCAAAUGAUGACAGAUUCUUCAAUAUACAUGCACAAACUGCAGUCGAACAUGAGCUGACUACAUUAGGAUGCGUCUCAUGCGUCAUACAGGGUUGAAACUAAAUGUCAUAGUGUGUUAAAUGGAAAUGUAAUGGUUUCAGGUAUCAUAUUUGUGCCUCAUUGUCCGCUGUAGUCCUUUAAAUGUAAAAAAAAAAUAACGUUAGAAGCAAUGGUCCUCUUUCUGUAAAGAGAAAUGUAAACCAAUCAGGAGGAGGAGAUGAUGAUGUUUGUGUACGUUUGUUUUUCAGUCAGUCAUUUUCUCUCUGCAAGUUCAUGUUGGUUCCUUUAUCCGAACAGAGCGUCAUGCACAUGCUUUUGUAACAUCUCUGCUUUGAAAUAUACAAUUGUCAGCUCUUAUUUUUUGUUCUGUAUACAAUCUCAAAGCAUUGUAUAUACAUAUACUGUAUAUAUAUAUCUCUCUUAAGAGCG